rnacentral:tmRNA from 1 species
GGGGGUGCACCGGUUUCGACUUGUGCGGUCCGUAUCGUGCGUUGCAGGUGGAGACGCCGACCUCCUAACAUUCGGCAAAACUUUUACUUGCCAACAACAACGGCAAUCUCGCUCUCGCCGCGUAAGUAGCGUAGAACGACGGACCUCCCGAUGCGCCGCCCUGAGCGUCGGAAAGGUCUGCAACUGACCGGGGCUCACCUUCCGCGCAGUCCGGGGCGCGGGAGGGAAAACAAACCGGAAUACGAACCGGGGGAGCGUGCCGCCCCGCGCCCCUGGUUUCGACAACCAAAAGGACGGACAAACCUGUAGAUGCGUGCGGUGCGCGCUCGAGGACGGGGGUUCGACUCCCCCCACCUCCAUGA